ensembl:snRNA U2 U2 spliceosomal RNA
AUCGUUUCUCAGCCUUUUGGCUAAGAUCAAGUGUAGUAUCUGUUCUUAUCAGUUUAAUAUCUGAUACGUUCCCCCAGCGGGGGACUACAUUUUUUGUAGGGUGGUGGUAGCCUAGUGGGUAACACCCUCGCCUGUGAACCUGAAGACCCAGGUUCAAAUCCCG